rnacentral:rRNA from 1 species
CGUAACGCGUAUGCAAUCUACCUUUACAGAGGGAUAGCCCAGAGAAAUUUGGAUUAAUACCUCAUAGUAUAUAGACCUGGCAUCAGGAUUAUAUUAAAGUCACAACGGUAAAAGAUGAGCAUGCGUCCCAUUAGCUAGUUGGUAAGGUAACGGCUUACCAAGGCUACGAUGGGUAGGGGUCCUGAGAGGGAGAUCCCCCACACUGGUACUGAGACACGGACCAG